rnacentral:rRNA from 1 species
GGGGAAUAUUGCACAAUGGGGGAAACCCUGAUGCAGCGACGCCGCGUGGAGGAAGAAGGUCUUCGGAUUGUACACUCCUGUUGUUGGGGAAGAUAAUGACGGUACCCAACAAGGAAGUGACGGCUAACUACGUGCCAGCAGCCGCGGUAAAACGUAGGUCACAAGCGUUGUCCGGAAUUACUGGGUGUAAAGGGAGCGCAGGCGGGAAGACAAGUUGGAAGUGAAAUCUAUGGGCUCAACCCAUAAACUGCUUUCAAAACUGUUUUUCUUGAGUAGUGCAGAGGUAGGCGGAAUUCCCGGUGUAGCGGUGGAAUGCGUAGAUAUCGGGAGGAACACCAGUGGCGAAGGCGGCCUACUGGGCACCAACUGACGCUGAGGCUCGAAAGUGUGGGUAGCAAACAGGAUUAGAUACCCUGGUAGUCCACACCGUAAACGAUGAUUAUUAGGUGUUGGAGGAU